AUCCCUAGCGGGCAGGAUCUUUUCAACAGAAUGAAAAGGAUCAUAAUCAGUCUAGGUAAUAAAAAAAAAAAAAAAAAAAAAAAAAAAACGUUGUAAUGAGUUGCCUUGCUUUUACGACGCCUUUUUUUUUUUUAAC
rnacentral:snoRNA from 1 species